rnacentral:rRNA from 1 species
UACGGGGGGGCAAGCGUUGUUCGGAAUUACUGGGCGUAAGGCGCGUAGGCGGUUCGCUAAGUUGGAUGUGAAACUCUGGCUCAACCCAGAGCCUGCAUCCAAACUGGCGGCUAGAGUUCUGGAGGGGUAGCGGAUCUGGUGUAGCGGUGAAAUGCGUAGAUAUACGGAAGGAACAUCAGUGGCGUAAAGCGAACUUCCUGGACCAAUACUGACGCUCAUGUGCGAAAGCGUGGG